rnacentral:lncRNA from 1 species
CCCAAUCCAACACCUUGCUUAACCGCGCAUGUUCCCCGACCCACUCUCGAGGCUCACCGGCGUCGCCACCGGCUGCAGACUGCUCCCAGCUUGCCCUCCCUCUCUCUGAUCGCUUCUACCAUCUUCGCGUAAGUCCUGCAAGCUCUCUCCCUCUCUCUCUCUGUGGAACAUCAGCUCGCUUCGGGGACGAGGGGAGGAGAACCUGUGCAGGCGAACGAGGUUCAAUCUUCUAGCCCGGUUCUCAUAUGUGUUUGAGUCGAGGUGGAAGGACAAUGAUGUUAUAUGACGCUUUAUUAACCUAGAACACCGACCCGUGUCCGUGUUACGGUGGCGUCUCUGUCUCCCAUUCGCCUGCUCCUUCCGUCAGGUUCCAAGGUUUCUCUGUCCUUGAUGGUCCGAUAAUUAUUAUUUUGCAGAUCCUGACUAGGAGAUCAUCUAAAGGUACCACUGUCUUUUCCUUUUUCGUAUUGCUGUUCUUCAUUGCAACUCUGUUUUGCUUAGGAGUAUUUUUUUUGUCUCUGGUCCAAAAGGGGCAAGUGGCAGAGUUCCAAUCUUAUGAGAUGGAGCGGAUGCAUAUCAAAGAGAAGAUUGUCCAAUCCAGAUUUGCUUCCUUCGCUAACUGCAGAUAUGUAAAUCUUACCAAUUAGUUGAAAUUCACAUGGAUGUGCAGAUUGAUUUUAUCAGGAUGUUCGAAUGCAUUAUUUCUUCAACUUUGUGGUUUAAAAUUAUUUUUCACAUACAUGAUGUAGGCAACUUUGAAUCUUGGAGCCUUAGCAAGGGCACAUGCAAGUUACUGUUUCCAAUGGUUACGAGCAUCUCCUAUUUGCAAGACGAUGACAAGCAUGUUUCUGAAGAUGUGAAUAUCAGGGAUCUAGAUAUGACAAGCUGCGAGGCAAAUGGUCUUCAGCUUUACCGACCUCCACAAAGGCUGAACCAUGUUUAUCUGCUAGAGAUGGGAAAUUGGACAUUCUGAAUUCUUUUUUAUGCCCGGGGCAUUCAUGUAAGAAAUAUGUUUUGAAGUAUGUAGCCUAUGUUUUUCUUUGAUAUUCGUAAAUAACACCGAAGUUUUUUACUUGCACAAAGUGUUUAUCCAUGAUAAGUGCUAACAAUGAUGGUAAGCUGCACUUGAAAACAGAAGCUUCACGGGUGGCACAAAGGGCAGCUGAAGCUUUACUUCAAUCAUGAUUUUUUUCCUUCAUGUUUUGGUCUGAAAUUUUCAUUCUGCAUUUCCCUUUGUACGUAUAUACUGCCAUGGAAAUUUUGAAGUAAAUACGAUGUAGAAGCAUAACUUAGAUUGAACUAUUGGGUAGUCUAACUGAAUUGGUAGAGUUGUAGGACAAAGCAUACUAGGUGUAUUUCUAUGGUAUAAGCAGCUGAAGGUGAGCAUACAUGCUUCGACAGUUUUUUUGUACAGAAAAAGCUAUUGGUGGGGGAGGGGGGGGGGCUUAUUUGGCUUAUACUCAAGUGCUUCUGUUGGGAGGAGGAAAACUUGUUUGGGUUAUGCUCAAAUGCUUCUGAAAACUGAAAUUCUUCAUACUUUUAGAAUUUCAGUAAUGCAUAUAUAAGAGCACACACUUGAUUAAUUUUGUGUGGAGAGGACGCUUUACAUUGUUUCUGAUAGUGACUUUACUACUUUAAGGUGAAGUAAAUGUUUGAUUAAAGUGAUACAACUUAAGAGCUUUGACUAUUCUCAAUUUGUCAUUAAAUCUAUACUUUGAUAAUGUAAUAUUUUUUCAUUUACUUCCAAUACUUCAUAAUGAUGCACAAAGAAUAUGGGUGACGACAAAGCUUUAUACUGUUUAUGCACAAACAAGUAGGGCGUCCGGUUAAGUGCUCCCUUCUGAUUCAUAUUUAUUCGCUAGCAGUUGGUGCAGCAGGGAUAUUUAGGAUCCAUUCUAUUUCUGAUCAUUUUCAGUUAGGAGGCUAUGAGAUUAUUGUAGGCCCCACUGUGUCAUUAAAUAGGUAUUUUUCUUUCUUAUCUUGCUCUAUUUUCUGUUUUGUGCUUUAAAUUGUUUCUAUAUGUCACCCACUUAAUCUAAGGCUGUCCACAAUCAAUUGUUUUCUUUCAGUAGGAUUUUGCUGUACUCCUGAAAAUCCAUGGGCAAAUAGUACUAUGUUCAGUUGAGAGAAGUAGUUCACGACACAUGGAAAUAUUUAUGGACGCUGAAUUAUAGUGUCAUUGUCGCCAUCGUCAAUGCUAAGUCUAUUUACACUUUGGAUUAUGGGCUGCUAAUAUCUUUUGGUUUUCUUAUCUUUUUGUUCUGUGACUACUUUUCUGUAAUGGCAUGAACUCUUACUUUUGUUUCUAAAGAUUAACCUGUCGUCAUUGCUAACUUAGUGUUCCUAUUUCAGCCAUGUAUUGUUGGGGAUUCAGUGAUUUCAGGCUACCAGUAAUUUCUUCUAUUUUUCAG